rnacentral:rRNA from 1 species
GUGCCAGCCGCCGCGGUAAUACGUAGGUGGCAAGCGUUGUCCGGAUUUAUUGGGCGUAAAGCGAGCGCAGGCGGUUUCUUAAGUCUGAUGUGAAAGCCUUCGGCUCAACCGAAGAAGUGCAUCGGAAACUGGGAAACUUGAGUGCAGAAGAGGACAGUGGAACUCCAUGUGUAGCGGUGAAAUGCGUAGAUAUAUGGAAGAACACCAGUGGCGAAGGCGGCUGUCUGGUCUGUAACUGACGCUGAGGCUCGAAAGCAUGGGUAGCAAACAGGAUUAGAUACCCUGGUAGUCCAUGCCGUAAACGAUGAGUGCUAGGUGUUGGAGGGUUUCCGCCCUUCAGUACCGCAGCUAACGCAUUAAGCACUCCGCCUGGGGAGUACGACCGCAAGGUUGAAACUCAAAGGAAUUGACGGGGGCCCGCACAAGCGGUGGAGCAUGUGGUUUAAUUCGAAGCAACGCGAAGAACCUUACCAGGUCUUGACAUCCUUUGACCACUCUAGAGAUAGAGCUUUCCCUUCGGGGACAAAGUGACAGGUGGUGCAUGGUUGUCGUCAGCUCGUGUCGUGAGAUGUCGGGUUAAGUCCCGCAACGAGCGCAACCCUUAUUACUAGUUGCCAGCAUUUAGUUGGGCACUCUAGUGAGACUGCCGGUGACAAACCGGAGGAAGGUGGGGACGACGUCAAAUCAUCAUGCCCCUUAUGACCUGGGCUACACACGUGCUACAAUGGAUGGUACAACGAGUCGCGAGACCGCGAGGUUUAGCUAAUCUCUUAAAACCAUUCUCAGUUCGGAUUGUAGGCUGCAACUCGCCUACAUGAAGCCGGAAUCGCUAGUAAUCGCGGAUCAGCAUGCCGCGGUGAAUACGUUCCCGGGCCUUGUACACACCGCCCGU